rnacentral:lncRNA from 1 species
CGAUUUUUAUUUAGUUGGAAGUUAUCCUAACUGAUCAACACAAUGUUGCAUGAAAAAAAACGUGCAUGCUCUUAUCAAACUCUAGUUCAUAAAACACAGUUAUAAAACGAAAUGGGAUAAGCUGAAAACAAGAAGAAAAAAAAUGUUCAAUUUCACAAACAAAAAGAUCAAACAUAGAAAAUGACGGCUUCCGACUCCUGAUUUUUAUAUUCCAUAAUUAUUGUGGCGUGAAGGCAACGCGGUUCGUAGGUCGCGUGUGCGCUCUCAACAACCAGACUACCACCACAACCCCGAUCCGCAUUUUAGCACAGCCGCCUUCAGCCGGUUUUUCACGGCGGCGGCGGCAACGCACUUCCAGGUCUAGAAAAGAACUUUGAAUUAUUUGAUUCAGUUAUAAAUUGGUUCCUGUUCGGAAAGAUAUUUAGCAUUCUUGAGUCCUAUUAUUACCAUAUCCUUCAAACUGAAGCUAAUUAGCAUGUGAUUUAUUUUGCUAAAAAAUGAUGGUUAAGUAAAACAAUUAAGGUAAAUGAAUUAAUGUAUGCCCGCCCGCAAAGGUGGUAUAUAUAUAUUAGAGCAUACCUUGGGUAAGGGGAGCCUUUGAUGGGCUUUUGGCCGUAUUUCCUCCAGGCCCAUGAAUCGGACGGUGGAUACGUCUCUCCUUUGCUCUUAGAUCCAUCCACGUCACCGAUCGGUACCGUCACCACCCUUUUCUUCAUCUCCCUCCUACGUAUGGUGCCAUGAACGUAAACCUUUCAACAUUUAACUUCCCAAUU